GACGAACGCUGGCGGCGUGCUUAACACAUGCAAGUCGAACGGAAAGGCCCUGCUUUUGUGGGGUGCUCGAGUGGCGAACGGGUGAGUAACACGUGAGUAACCUGCCCUUGACUUUGGGGUAACUUCAGGAAAAUGGGGCUAAUACCGGAUAGGAGCUCCUGAUGCAUGGUGGGGGUUGGAAAGUUUCGGCGGUUGGGGAUGGACUCGCGGCUUAUCAGCUUGUUGGUGGGGUAGUGGCUUACCAAGGCUUUGAAGGGUAGACGGCCUGAGAGGGUGACCGGCCACAUUGGGACUGAGCUACGGCCCAGACUCCUACGGGAGGCAGCAGUGGGGAAUAUUGCACAAUGGGCGGAAGCCUGAUGCAGCAACGCCGCGUGCGGGAUGACGGCCUUCGGGUUGUAAACCGCUUUCGCCUGUGACGAAGCGUGAGUGACGGUAAUGGGUAAAGAAGCACCGGCUAACUACGUG
rnacentral:rRNA from 1 species